CGCGUAGGCGGCUGUGGCAGUCGGGUGUGAAAGCCCGGAGCUCAACUCCGGAAUUGCACUCGAGACGCCACGGCUGGAGGCCGGAAGAGGAGGGUGGAAUACCCAGUGUAGAGGUGAAAUUCGUAGAUAUUGGGUGGAACACCGGUGGCGAAAGCGGCUCUCUGGUCCGGACCUGACGCUGAGGCGCGGAAGCGUGGGGAGCAAACA
rnacentral:rRNA from 1 species